rnacentral:misc_RNA from 1 species
UAUGGCUCAGCUUUACCAUAAGCCUCUGCAGGUUUAUGAAAUAUUACCUGCAUUAAUACAUCAGCCAGGCCUAAUUGCACCCCUAAUGGGGUAAAUUGUAGGGUUAAUUAUGUUAAAUUACAUACAGAAUAGCAAUUAUGCAUGAGCUGGACUGGUAAUAGGGGGUUAAUACUUAAUAGAUACUGCUCUAUACAAGUAUACUGAGCCUAUGCCAACUCAUUGUGAAGCCAACUUGCUUACAUGUUAAGACACUCAAAGGAAUGAAACCACAAAAUAGGAGAUUUUAAGCCAAUGAUUGCAUUGUUUCCUGUUGUAUUUUUCAAUAUUGGAAGUUUAAUGACAUUUGUCAAGGAUCUUAAAUUGAACUGAUGUACUCUGCUUAGAAACAGUUGCCAUGGCGACAGAUACAGCAUUACUCACAAAGCUGAUUCAGGAUGCGGUUCAAAAACUCUGCAUGCAACAUGUGCAUUCAUCCACCAUGGUUGAAAUAGAUGGUAUUAUAUGCGUCUCGCCUAUAAACGAGCGAGACAUCGUCAUCAAAAUGCAUAAAACAUUGGAAAAGUCGGCAGAGGCAACAGUGUCAAAUAUCCAAAAUGUGCUGGCGGAAAAGCUAAAACAGCAAAGUAUGGACCGUGCUAGUCAGGAUUUUAUGAACAAUAUUGAAUCAAAUUGCCAGUUAGCCAAAUCCCCAGAAGAUAUGUACAGUUCUGCAAUGACAUGGCUUAAGACGCAACCGUUAAUGUCCCCAUUUCAGCACAUUUCUGCACAUCAGUUAUUAGCGCAGCAAGCAGCUCUUGCCCAUAAUGCAACACAAGAAUCAACACAGGAGGUUAAACAAGCUGACCAACCUGUCAAUUUGACGCUAAAAAGGAAAUCAACUGAAGCCCAUGAAAAGGUGGAGCCACCAUACAGUGCUAAGCGGUCACGUCAGGCAAGUGAGAGAAAUGACAGAGUUGACGAGGAUGACUGUGUUACAGUUGACGACAGAGAUGAUAUUAAAGAAGAGGUUUUCAAUGAUACUAAUGAUAUUACACAGGAAGACCCGCAACCCCCUAGACCACUUUACCCCCAUACUCGAGCUGUUCUUCACAAUGGACUGACAACCCAUAAGCCACCAGCAGAUGUUGGCUGGCCCGGGACACCCUCUAUAUAUGGCUUAUAUGGUAACCAUAGCAACAACAACAGUGCUAAUGUUGCCAGUGGCAACAACUUUAACAAUUUCAAUGCUGACUCAGAUUCAUUGCCGAGGAUUGGCAAAAGUCGCAAUCGGACAGCCUACAGUAAUGCUCAAAUUUACCAACUCGAACAGGAAUUUUUAAUAAAUCGUUACAUAAAUCGGCCGAGGAGACACGAACUUGCUUUAUUGCUCGGGCUCAAUGAGCUUCAGAUUAAAAUUUGGUUCCAAAAUCGUCGAAUGAAAGAAAAAAAAGAAAAAGGUGGAUCCGUCUCUGGAACCUGGAAUACAAGAGACAGUUUAGACGAUUCCAUGCUUAGUUCUGAAAAUGACCACCAGGGGUCCCCACCAGUUUCUCCAUAUAAGGAUGAUAGUCCGACAAGAGGGACGGUUAAUGAUGCGGAUGACAUGAAACAGGAAAAUAUUCAAGGCAAUGUGAAUAAGGAGUUCACUAAACAAGAGAUUAAAACGGAAUGAAUGGAAUAAAAUUCAAUGUUACUGUCAAAUACUCUUACGCAUUUAUAAUUCUGCACAUAUGAAGUCCCUGCCUUGCUUAUGAAAUCAAAUCAUCAUGUGUUAUGUCCAAUAAUAUCAGGAUUUAAAAAUAUAGCUCCUCACCAUAGCUGUCAAAUAUUAUAUCGAUCCUCAUAUAAGCAGCACUUGUGAAAUGUCUCAAUAAGAUCAUACUGAAAAGUAGGAAUGAUCGAGAAAUUGUAAAUACAAUGAAAUUGGAUAAUGUGACUGAUAGACAUAAAACUGGAUCAGGAGAAUGCUAUUUAUCUCCUUAAAGAGAAAAUGGGAUCUAUAUUCAGAAGAUUCAAUCAACUUUUAGUCAACAGACAAAAUUGUUAAAGUGGAUGAAAAGUGGAUCUUGGAAAAUCCUUGCAUCGAAAGUAUUGACCAUAUUGUUCAGUGAUCUUCCCACAUCAUUUUUGCAACAAUGUGCUAAAUCCCUUUUUUUAAUUUUACCAGUUUUGGGUGAAAUUAAUGUUGCAACAUCUUGACAGAGUGCAAAGUUGCAAACAAAUGUUCAAUAUGGUAGCAUGUAAUUAAAGAAUUUUUGACAAGCUGUAGGACCCAGCCGCUUGAAUGCUGUUGAGAUCACUCCUACCCAGGCCCAUAGACAGGGGGGGUUUGGGGUCAAGCAAAACCCCCUGGCCAAAAAUUCUUUCAAAAUCAUGCACUUUUUUACCAUUAUGAUGACUUUUCAAGUGAUUAUGGCCAAAGUUGUCUAUAUUGAGCUCCCCAUGUGAAUUUUCUAAAAAGUGAACCCCCUUGGCAAAUCCUGGCUACGGGCCUACCUACCAAUAUAUUUCUUUCAUGUAUAUGUUCGAGAAAUACAUGUUUUUGGAGAAUGUGAA